GGGCUCACUUCAGCAGCACAUAUACUAAACACUAGCAUGGCCCCUGUGCAAGGAUGAUGUGCAAAUUUGUGAAAUGUUCCAUAUAUUU
ensembl:snRNA U6 U6 spliceosomal RNA